rnacentral:rRNA from 1 species
GAUGAACGCUAGCGGGAGGCCUAACACAUGCAAGCCGAGCGGGAUUUGUUGGUUAGCUUGCUAACUAACAAUGAGAGCGGCGUACGGGUGCGUAGCACGUGUGCAACCUGCCUUUAUCUGGGGGAUAGCCUUUCGAAAGGAAGAUUAAUACCCCAUAACAUAUUGAUUGGCAUCAGUUAAUAUUGAAAGCUCCGGCGGAUAGAGAUGGGCACGCGUAAGAUUAGCUAGUUGGUGAGGUAACGGCUCACCAAGGCUGCGAUCUUUAGGGGGCCUGAGAGGGUGAUACACCACACUGGUACUGAGACACGGACCAGACUCCUACGGGAGGCAGCAGUGAGGAAUAUUAGACAAUGGGUGAGAGCCUGAUCCAGCCAUCCCGCGUGAAGGACUAAGGACCUAUGGUUUGUAAACUUCUUUUAGACAGGGAUAAACCUACUCUCGUGAGGGUAGCUGAAGGUACUGUAUGAAUAAGCACCGGCUAACUCCGUG